CUCGGCAACGGAUAUCUCGGCUCUCGCAUCGAUGAAGAACGUAGCGAAAUGCGAUACUUGGUGUGAAUUGCAGAAUCCCGUGAACCAUCGAGUCUUUGAACGCAAGUUGCGCCCGAAGCCAUUUGGCCGAGGGCACGUCUGCCUGGGUGUCACGC
rnacentral:rRNA from 1 species